AGAACGAACGCUGGCGGCAGGCUUAACACAUGCAAGUCGAACGCCCCGCAAGGGGAGUGGCAGACGGGUGAGUAACGCGUGGGAAUCUACCCAAUUCUUCGGAACAACUGAGGGAAACUUCAGCUAAUACCGGAUGUGCCCUUCGGGGGAAAGAUUUAUCGGAAUUGGAUGAGCCCGCGUUGGAUUAGCUAGUUGGUGGGGUAAAGGCCUACCAAGGCGACGAUCCAUAGCUGGUCUGAGAGGAUGAUCAGCCACACUGGGACUGAGACACGGCCCAGACUCCUACGGGAGGCAGCAGUGGGGAAUAUUGGACAAUGGGCGCAAGCCUGAUCCAGCCAUGCCGCGUGAGUGAUGAAGGUCUUAGGAUUGUAAAGCUCUUUCACCGGUGAAGAUAAUGACGGUAACCGGAGAAGAAGCCCGGCUAACUUCGUGCCAGCAGCCGC
rnacentral:rRNA from 1 species